rfam:Gossypium raimondii chromosome 3, whole genome shotgun sequence.
UUAGCGGCGCUUUUUAGCGCCACUAACGCAAAAAAUGCCGCUAACG